UACGGGAGGCAGCAGUGGGGAAUAUUGCACAAUGGGCGCAAGCCUGAUGCAGCCAUGCCGCGUGUAUGAAGAAGGCCUUCGGGUUGUAAAGUACUUUCAGUCGUGAGGAAGGUGUUAAGGUUAAUAACCUUAGCAAUUGACGUUAGCGACAGAAGAAGCACCGGCUAACUCCGUGCCAGCAGCCGCGGUAAUACGGAGGGUGCGAGCGUUAAUCGGAAUUACUGGGCGUAAAGGGCACGCAGGCGGUUAAUUAAGUUGGAUGUGAAAUCCCCGGGCUUAACCUGGGAAUGGCAUUCAAGCUGGUUAGCUAGAGUCUUGUAGAGGGGGUUAGAAUUCCAUGUGUAGCGGUGAAAUGCGUAGAGAUGUGGAGGAAUACCGGUGGCGAAGGCGGCCCCUGGACAAAGACUGACGCUCAUGUGCGAAAGCGUGGGGAGCAAACAGGGAUUAGAUACC
rnacentral:rRNA from 1 species